rnacentral:rRNA from 1 species
GAUGAACGCUGGCGGCGUGCCUAAUACAUGCAAGCCGAGCGAACGGACGAGAAGCUUGCUUCUCUGAUGUUAGCGGCGGACGGGUGAGUAACACGUGGAUAACCUACCUAUAAGACUGGGAUAACUUCGGGAAACCGGAGCUAAUACCGGAUAAUAUUUUGAACCGCAUGAUUCAAAAGUGAAAGACGGUCUUGCUGUCACUUAUAGAUGGAUCCGCGCUGCAUUAGCUAGUUGGUAAGGUAACGGCUUACCAAGGCAACGAUGCAUAGCCGACCUGAGAGGGUGAUCGGCCACACUGGAACUGAGACACGGUCCAGACUCCUACGGGAGGCAGCAGUAGGGAAUCUUCCGCAAUGGGCGAAAGCCUGACGGAGCAACGCCGCGUGAGUGAUGAAGGUCUUCGGAUCGUAAAACUCUGUUAUUAGGGAAGAACAUAUGUGUAAGUAACUGUGCACAUCUUGACGGUACCUAAUCAGAAAGCCACGGCUAACUACGUG